GUCUGUCCGCUGCAGGAAAAGUCUCUGGGUUAUGUAGCUACGGAGGGCAGACAUAUCCCAGCUAGUUAACGUUAGCUACCUUAUGUCAACUGUCCUAUCUGGUGAAUUCAAAUGCCAGCUAGCCUGUCACCCCCUGUGUAGACAGAUAUUAACGUUACGCCAAGAAACGUUUAGCUAACUAGGUUCGUCGAGAGAAGAGGAAAAUGUGCUCCCUGCACAGAGCGAGAGGCUCUGUUUUGGUGAUCUUCCUUCUGCUACACAGCGCUACAAGUUUCUAUCUACCGGGUCUGGCCCCUGUUAGUUUUUGUGAACCAGGACAAACUGGGAAAGAGAAUGAAGUACCGGACUGUAAGUCGACCAUCGAGAUAUUUGUGAACAGACUGGAUUCUGUGGAGUCUGUCUUACCCUAUGAAUACACUGCGUUUGAUUUCUGCGCUAUCGACUCCGAGAAGCGCCCGUCUGAGAAUUUGGGUCAGGUUUUGUUUGGCGAGAGAAUUGAGCCCUCUCCCUACAAGUUUGAGUUCAAGAAGAAGGUGGAUUGUAAGCCGGUGUGUACUAAAUCCUACAACACCAACAAGCCAGAGGACAAAGCCCACCUGGACUUUCUGAAGAAAGGCAUGUUGCUCAACUACCAGCACCACUGGAUAGUGGACAACAUGCCGGUGACCUGGUGUUAUGACGUGGAGGACGGACAGAAGUUCUGUAACCCAGGGUUUCCCAUUGGCUGCUACGUCACUGAGGCGGGACGACCCAAAGACGCUUGUGUUGUCAACUCUGACUUUAAGGACAAAGACACAUUCUACGUCUUCAACCAUGUUGACAUCACCAUUCACUAUCAUGUGGUGGAGAACGAGGCUGCUGGGGCUAGACUGGUCGCUGCCAAGAUGGAGCCCAAGAGCUAUAAACACACCAAAGUGGAGGCCCCCGACUGUGCAGGAGGGCCCAUGUACCUGAACAACAAGUUCAGUGGAGAGCUGAAGAUCGGCUAUACCUACUCUGUCCAGUUUGUGGAGGACACGCACAUCAGAUGGGCGUCACGUUGGGACUACAUUCUGGAGUCCAUGCCCCACACCAACAUUCAGUGGUUCAGCAUCAUGAACUCUCUGGUGAUCGUUCUCUUCCUGUCUGGUAUGGUGGCUAUGAUCAUGCUGAGGACUCUACAUAAGGACAUUGCCAGAUACAACCAGAUGGACUCUGUGGAAGAUGCCCAGGAGGAGUUUGGCUGGAAGCUGGUCCAUGGAGACGUCUUCCGGCCUCCCAGGAAAGGCAUGCUCCUCUCUGUCUUUCUGGGAUCUGGAACUCAGAUCUUCAUCAUGAUGUUCGUCACUCUCUUCUUUGCCUGCCUGGGCUUCCUGUCCCCGGCGAACCGCGGUGCCCUGAUGACGUGUGCCGUGGUGCUCUGGGUCCUACUGGGCACACCAGCCGGCUACGUGGCUGCCCGUUUCUACAAGUCCUUUGGUGGGGAGAAAUGGAAGACUAACGUCCUGCUGACCUGCUUCCUGUGUCCUGGGGUUGUGUUUGCUGAUUUCUUUGUGAUGAAUCUGAUCCUGUGGGGUGAGGGCUCGUCUGCAGCCAUGCCCUUUGGCACCCUGGUGGCCAUCUUGGCUCUGUGGUUCUGCAUCUCUGUCCCCCUCACCUUCAUAGGGGCCUACUUCGGCUUCAAGAAGACUGGGAUUGAGCACCCUGUGCGGACCAAUCAGAUCCCUCGUCAGAUCCCGGAGCAGUCGUUCUACACCAGAUCUCUCCCAGGGAUCGUCAUGGGGGGGAUCCUCCCGUUCGGCUGUAUCUUCAUCCAGCUCUUCUUCAUCCUCAACAGCAUCUGGUCUCACCAGAUGUACUACAUGUUUGGUUUCCUGUUUCUGGUGUUCAUAAUCCUGGUAAUCACCUGCUCUGAGGCCACCAUCCUACUCUGCUACUUCCACCUCUGUGCUGAGGUAAGACACCACACACACACACACACACCAUCCUACUCUGCUACUUCCACCUCUGUGCUGAGGACUACCACUGGCAGUGGCGUUCCUUCCUGACCAGUGGUUUCACGGCCGUCUACUUCCUGGUCUAUGCCAUCCACUACUUCUUCUCCAAGCUCCAGAUCACAGGAUUGGCUAGCACCAUCCUCUACUUUGGUUACACCAUGAUCAUGGCUCUCAUCUUCUUCUUAUUCACAGGAACGAUUGGAUUCUUCGCCUGCUUCUGGUUCGUCACCAAGAUCUACAGCGUAGUGAAGGUGGACUGAGUAGUUAACCAAAAACUAAACCAAUGGAUUGUCCUGUUUACUCUGCCACGCCCCCUCCCCCCGCCCCCCUCACCCUCCCUGGGCUGGAGGGACACUAUUGUUACGUUACACCCUGACUGCGUACGGUGACCAGGGCCCACUGGUCUAAAUAGGGAGCCGUUUGGAACACAACCCUUGUCUACUGUGUGGAAGACGCAUUUUUGUCAGAGCAGCAAGACAACAGAGUCUUCCCGUGUGUGUGUGUGUACACACACAUCUAUACAUAAUGUAGUCUGGAGUGCAGGAAAUACCUGUUGGAGGUCCAGAUCCUACUGCACAUCAAUCCUUUAUUCACCUCUGACAUGGAAACAGGAAAUCUAGAAGGUUGUGACUAUUAACACCCCCCCACUCCCCCGGUUACAGUUAGUUUCUGUCCCCACGUUGGCGCACUAAGGUGAUUUUACGUUGUCAUUCAAACUAUUAAUAGUGUUGGACAAUAUGAUUGUAAAUAACUAUUUUUUUUCUUCUAAUGCUGAUGAAUGAUUUGGGGUCGUAAUAAGCUUUAUAAUGUGAGAUGGAAUUCCUCCUCUAACCCAUGUUCUGGGCUGGUAGUGUAGUCGGAAGAGAGUCCCAAAUGGCACUCUAGUCUGCACUACAAAAGUAGUCUGCACUAUGUAGGGAAUAGGGUGCAAUUUGGGAUGAACACAUUUUCUCUGGGUUUUGUUUUAUUUUGUAUUAUAAAUGCUUGAGUAUUAACCAACUGGUCUGUUAUUUAACUUUAUAUUCCAAUUACAUUAUUUUUUUGUCUAUUCUUUAUUUUAUUUUUUGCCUCAGACACGUGCCUCAUCAGUAGUUCAUUUUAUUUUCAAAAACCAACCGUUUGGGAUUUUGUGAAAGGCAUCAUCGACUUCUGUGUUCCAAAUGGCACCCUAUUCCCUAUGUCGUGCACUACCCUUGAUCAAGGGCUCGGGUCUAAAGUAGUGCACCACAUAGGGAAUAGGGUGCCAUUUGGGACAUCGUCCAUCAGUUAUGUGGGGCUCUGAUUCUUAUAUCCUUUCAGUGUAAAUAUACUCUCUUCAUAAAUGAUACUAGUUUCAUUAGUCUGACCGAGCAUCUGGGUUCCUUCUCUCCUUCACUGGGUUCCUUCUCUCCUUCACUGGGUUGAAAUGAUGUAAUUAUGAUCUGAAAAAUAAGAAAUGGUCCAUUUAAAAUAAAACAAUGUUCCUGUUGGA